CCAGGUUAUCAACAUGGACCUAAGUGUAAUUUAACCAGGUUAUCAACAUGGACCUAAGUGUAAUUUAACCAGGUUAUCAACAUGGACCUAAGUGUAAUUUAACCAGGUUAUCAACAUGGACCUAAGUGUAAUUAAACCAGGUUAUCAACAUGGACCUAAGUGUAAUUUAACCAGGUUAUCAACAUGGAUCAACAGGGACCUAAGUGUAAUUUAACCAGGUUAUCAACAUGGAUCAACAGGGACCUAAGUGUAAUUUAACCAGGUUAUCAACAUGGAUCAACAGGGACCUAAGUGUAAUUUAACCAGGUUAUCAACAUGGAUCAACAGGGACCUAAGUGUAAUUUAACCAGGUUAUCAACAUGGAUCAACAGGGACCUAAGUGUAAUUUAACCAGGUUAUCAACAUGGAUCAACAGGGACCUAAGUGUAAUUUAACCAGGUUAUCAACAUGGACCUAAGUGUAAUUUAACCAGGUUAUCAACAUGGACCUAAGUGUAAUUAAACCAGGUUAGCAACAUGGAUCAACAGGGACCUAAAUGUAAUUUAACCAGGUUAUCAACAUGGAUCAACAGGGACCUAAGUGUAUUUAACCAGGUUAUCAACAUGGAUCAACAGGGACCUAAGUGUAAUUUAACCAGGUUAUCAACAUGGAUCAACAGGGACCUAAGUGUAAUUUAACCAGGUUAUCAACAUGGAUCAACAGGGACCUAAGUGUAAUUUAACCAGGUUAUCAACAUGGAUCAACAGGGACCUAAGUGUAAUUUAACCAGGUUAUCAACAUGGAUCAACAUGGACCUAAGUGUAAUUUAACCAGGUUAUCAACAUGGACCUAAGUGUAAUUUAACCAGGUUAUCAACAUGGAUCAACAGGGACCUAAGUGUAAUUUAACCAGGUUAUCAACAUGGACCUAAGUGUAAUUUAACCAGGUUAUCAACAUGGACCUAAGUGUAAUUUAACCAGGUUAUCAACAUGGACCUAAGUGUAAUUUAACCAGGUUAUCAACAUGGAUCAACAGGGACCUAAGUGUAAUUUAACCAGGUUAUCAACAUGGAUCAACAUGGACCUA